rnacentral:rRNA from 1 species
UACGUAGGGGGCGGGCGUGUCCGAAGUUACUGGGCGUAAAGCGCGCGUAGGCGGGCGCUUAAGGCUGGUGUGAAAGGCUGAGGCUCAACCCCAGCAGUGCACUGGCGACUGGGCGCCUUGAGUGGGGGAGAGGGGAGCGGAAUUCCGGGUGGUAGCGGUGAAAUGCGUAGAGAUCCGGAGGAACACCGAUGGCGAAGGCAGCUCUCUGGCCUCUUUACUGACGCUGAGGUGCGAAAGCGUGGGGAGCGAACAGG